UACGGAGGGUGCGAGCGUUAAUCGGAAUUACUGGGCGUAAAGCGCGCGUAGGCGGUUCGCUAAGUCAGCUGUGAAAGCCCCGGGCUUAACCUGGGAACGGCAGUUGAAACUGGCGGGCUAGAGUGUGGUAGAGGGUAGUGGAAUUUCCGGUGUAGCAGUGAAAUGCGUAGAGAUCGGAAGGAACACCAGUGGCGAAGGCGACUACCUGGACCAACACUGACGCUGAGGUGCGAAAGCGUGGGGAGCAAACAGG
rnacentral:rRNA from 1 species